rnacentral:rRNA from 1 species
UGGGGAAUCUUGCGCAAUGGGCGAAAGCCUGACGCAGCGACGCCGCGUGAGCGAUGAAGGCCUUCGGGUUGUAAAGCUCUGUCAGAGGGGAAGAUUAUGACGGUACCCUCAGAGGAAGCCCCGGCUAACUACGUGCCAGCAGCCGCGGUAAGACGUAGGGGGCUAGCGUUGUCCGGAAUCACUGGGCGUAAAGGGCGUGUAGGCGGCUUGGCAAGUCAGUGGUGUAAGACCUGGGCUCAACCGAGGUAUUGCCAUUGAAACUGCCUGGCUUGAGGGUAGAAGAGGAGUGUGGAAUUCCCGGUGUAGCGGUGAAAUGCGUAGAGAUCGGGAGGAACACCAGUGGCGAAGGCGACACUCUGGUCUACACCUGACGCUGAGGCGCGAAAGCUAGGGGAGCAAACAGG